rnacentral:rRNA from 1 species
AUUGAACGCUGGCGGCAUGCCUUACACAUGCAAGUCGAACGGCAGCACGGGAGCAAUCCUGGUGGCGAGUGGCGAACGGGUGAGUAAUAUAUCGGAACGUGCCCAGUCGUGGGGGAUAACGCAGCGAAAGCUGUGCUAAUACCGCAUACGAUCUAAGGUUGAAAGCGGGGGAUCGCAAGACCUCGCGCGAUUGGAGCGGCCGAUAUCAGAUUAGCUAGUUGGUGGGGUAAAGGCCCACCAAGGCGACGAGCUGUAGCUGGUCUGAGAGGACGACCAGCCACACUGGAACUGAGACACGGUCCAGACUCCUACGGGAGGCAGCAGUGGGGAAUUUUGGACAAUGGGCGCAAGCCUGAUCCAGCAAUGCCGCGUGCAGGAUGAAGGCCUUCGGGUUGUAAACUGCUUUUGUACGGAACGAAACGGCCCUUUCUAAUACAGGGGGCUAAUGACGGUACCGUAAGAAUAAGCACCGGCUAACUACGUGCCAGCAGCCGCAGUAA